AUUGAACGCUGGCGGCAGGCCUAACACAUGCAAGUCGAGCGGAUGAAGGGAGCUUGCUCCUGGAUUCAGCGGCGGACGGGUGAGUAAUGCCUAGGAAUCUGCCUGGUAGUGGGGGAUAACGUCCGGAAACGGGCGCUAAUACCGCAUACGUCCUGAGGGAGAAAGUGGGGGAUCUUCGGACCUCACGCUAUCAGAUGAGCCUAGGUCGGAUUAGCUAGUUGGUGGGGUAAAGGCCUACCAAGGCGACGAUCCGUAACUGGUCUGAGAGGAUGAUCAAUCACACGGGAACUUAGACACGGUCCAGACUCCUACGGGAGGCAGCAGUGGGGAAUAUUGGACAAUGGGCGAAAGCCUGAUCCAGCCAUGCCGCGUGUGUGAAGAAGGUCUUCGGAUUGUAAAGCACUUUAAGUUGGGAGGAAGGGCAGUAAGUUAAUACCUUGCUGUUUUGACGUUACCAACAGAAUAAGCACCGGCUAACUUCGUG
rnacentral:rRNA from 1 species